AAGCUCGUAGUUGAAUUUCGGGAUCGACGGGUCGGUCGCGCCUCUGGUGUGUACUGGCCCUGUCGGUUUCUCCCUUCUGACGAACCACGAUGUCAUUAAUUUGGUGUCGUGGGAAAUCAGGACUGUUACUUUGAAAAAAUUAGAGUGUUUAAAGCAGGCAUUCGCUUGAAUACAUUAGCAUGGAAUAAUGAAAUAGGACAUCCGAUUCUAUUUUGUUGGUUUCUAGGAUCGAUGUAAUGAUUAAUAGGGAUAGUUGGGGGCAUUAGUAUUCAAUUGUCAGAGGUGAAAUUCUUGGAUUUAUUGAAGACUAACUACUGCGAAAGCAUUUGCCAAGGAUGUUUUCAUUAAUCAAGAACGAAAGUUAGGGGAUCGAAGACGAUCAGAUACCGUCGUAGUCUUAACCAUAAACUAUGCCGACUAGGGAUCGGAUGAUGUUAAUUUUUUAAUGACUCAUUCGGCGCCUUACGGGAAACCAAAGUGUUUGGGUUCCGGGGGGAGUAUGGUCGCAAGGCUGAAACUUAAAGGAAUUGACGGAAGGGCACCACCAGGGGUGGAGCCUGCGGCUUAAUUUGGCUCAACACGGGGAAA
rnacentral:rRNA from 1 species